rnacentral:rRNA from 1 species
AGAGAGAGACAUGCGCGCAUAUCAAUAAGCGGAGGAAAAGAAACUAACAAGGAUUCCCCUAGUAACGGCGAGUGAAGCGGGAAGAGCUCAAAUUUGAAAUCUUAAAGGGUUUCCCUUUACGAAUUGUAGUUUAAAGAAGUGUUUUCUGUUGAGGUUUUGGUAAAAGUUCUUUGGAAUAGGACAUCAUAGAGGGUGAGAAUCCCGUAUUUGACCUUUACUUUCAACUUUGUGAUACACUUUCAAAGAGUCGGAUUGUUUGGGAAUGCAGUCCAAAAUGGGUGGUAAAUUUCAUCUAAAGCUAAAUAUUGGCGAGAGACCGAUAGCGAACAAGUACCGUGAGGGAAAGAUGAAAAGAACUUUGAAAAGAGAGUUAAACAGUACGUGAAAUUGUCAAAAGGGAAGCGUUUGACACCAGUGUUGUUUUUCUGAAAAUCAAUUAAAGAACUGUUUAUGCUAAGCUGUUUAGACUUUAUCAGCUAACUGUUUAGUUUUGAGCUUUUCUUUAAUGCACUUUUCAGUUAACAAGUCAACAUCAAUUUCUUUUGCUGUAAAAAAGCUUGAGGGAAGGUGGCUUGAGAUUCGUCUUAAGUGUUUAUAGCCUCUUGCCUAUGCAGUCGGAGAGAUUGAGGUCUGCAGCGUAGAUCCUUCGGGGCUAAAUGCAUUUGUGCUAAGUUAUAGCAUUUUAUAGACAACUUGUUGACUAUGAUUUGUCUUGUAGCUUACUCGCUUAUGUUAUUUUACCUACGCUUAGGAUGUUGAGCGCAUGUCUCUCUCU